GGAAGGAGCAAGAGAGCAGAGAUUGGUCAGACGAUAGAUAAUAUGGAAGACAGCGAGCUAGCGUAUCUAGUCUGCUAUAUAUAUCUAUGGUUAGCACGUCUGGUAGCAUCUCUGGCUGCUGUUGAUCUUGUUUUUGGAGUAAAACGCGGUGGAAGCUGAAUUAGUGAGGAUGACUCCUGCUCCUGUCAUCUCUAAGCUCCUCACACAUCUUUACCUGCACAUGAGGAAAAUCACUCCUGCAGAAUGCAGAUGUUCAGAGGGAGAUGAUGCCACAUCUGGUCCAGCUGAUGGAAGGUCUUGAAGUUCUCUGACUGGCCUCGACUGAAGAUGGUCGUCUCACUGGAUUUAAGCUGCUGAAUUCAUGGAUGAAUCAUCUGGCACUAGAGAGGAAGACCAUCAAACAUCCACAUCAGCUGAUGAAGGUCCAAGAGUCUCACCGAACAAACAACCUACAGAGUGAAGACCUCCAAUCUGAUUGGAUGGCCUCCUAUUCAGCCACAUGUGUGAACAAAUGCUUCUAAGCUGAUUUGUUUUCUAAAAUCUAGUUUGAGUCCUAAUCUAUGCCUGUGUGUUUGCUUCUUUACACCGCUGUUAACAGUUUAGGCUGUUAGAUUGUUCCAGAUAAGACAAGUACAAGGUUCUUCAGAGCCGUUCUACCACAAGCCUGACAGGAAGAACUCCAACAGCUACUGAAUGUUCCUGUGGUUCCCUCAAGGCUACAGGAGGAGCCCUACGAGGACGAGCCGGUCCACCUGAUGGAGGCCAGUCGCUGCGGUUCAAAGCCAACACCGACUACGUGGACUUCUACUGGACCACACGGAGGCCUUCAAACCAGACCAACAAGUUCAGCGACUCCCCGACUCGUGGGUCUGAGGACGCUGCCGAGCCUCGGUCCAGCCGGCCUCCUGUCUGUGGAUGUUUGAGUGCUGAGAGGUUUGUGGAUCCAUGUGAACGUUCUGUGUUGAAACAGCAGCUUUGGACUCAGUAACGCUGGGAAAAACCAAGAGCUCCUUUAUUUGUGACUUCCACUAAUAAAACUGAUGAAAAUAAGUUUGCCAGGGUUCUGACUGAUAACACAUUAUUAAAUAAUGAAAAUAAUCAUUUAAAUAUUCCUUUAAACAAUCCUUUUAGGUCUACAUUUCCUUUACACUGGCUUCUUGGUAUAUGUACAAGUAUUUUGGGUGGAAUAUACCAUUAAGCCCGAUGUUCAAGGGUUCUUCUGGGAAUAUACCAUUAAACCAACCUUUUAGGUAAAUGUUCCAGGAUGUUGGGUAGAAUAUACCAUCAGAUCAACCUUUUAUGUCUACAUUGGAAGAUUUUAGAGUAGAAUAUUACUCCAAACCAUCCUUUAGGUCUACAUUUAAGGUGGAAUACUCCUUUACACCAAGAUUUUUUGGUCUACAUUGAAGGAUUUUAGGUGGAAUAUUCCUUUGAACGAGCUUUUUAAGUUUAUGUUAAAGGAUGCGGGGUGGAAUAUACCAUCAGACCAACCUCCAAGGUCUACAGUAGUGAAUUUUAGGUAGAAUAUACCAUUAAACUCACCUUUUAGGUCAACAUUGGAGGAUUUUAGGUGGAAUUUUCUUCCAUACCGUCUUUUAGUCUACAUUUAAGGAUGUUUAGGAUGGUAUAUUCUACCGAACCAACUUCUCGGGUCUACAUUUCAGGUGGAAUAUUCCUCCAUACUAACUUUUUCGGUCUACAUUGAAGGAUUUUUUCUAAACCACCCUUUCAGGUCUAUAUUUGAGGUUUUAGGUGGAAUAUUCCUUUUAACCAGCCCCUCAGGUCUUUUUGAGGAUUUUGGAUGGAAUGCUCGGUUAAACCAACAUUUUAAGUGCAUGUCCAAGGAUUUUUGGUGGAAUGUUACUUUCAGGUGGAUGUUUGAGGACCUUGUAGGUGGAAUACUUCCUGAAACCAACCUUUUAGGUCAACAUUCAAAGAUUUAAGGUGGAAUAUUCCUUUAAACCAAUCUAAAUUUCAUGUUUUGAUCAUUAUCAAGUGAGAAACCUCAAUCCAGAUUCCUCAUAAUGACGUUUGACAUUUAUGCUGCUGCUGUUACUUGUUUAGUCCAGACUAAAUGACAGAAAUCCACAACUGUAAUUUUAUUUCAGGACUCGGUUAUUAAAUGUCAAAACAAUCCAUGUGACUCUAAAAACUCAACAGCUUUACAAACUCUAAGAUUAAACUCUCCACAAGGAUCCAAAAUAAGUUGGACUUCUACAUGAGAGCUUGAAUUAUUCUUCAUCUACUUCCUGAAAAGUUUGGUCAAUAAAAAAGACAAAAACUAAUAUUUUCAGCUGAACUAAAGACAGACUUUGUGAUUUUUCUGCUAAAAGGUUGUGUUGUUGUAAACUUCCUCUUUCAAAUAAAUAGCCGCCUAACCUCCUGGAAACCAGCGUUUGUCCUGUUUUUGUGUUGCUCCUCGGCGACCCAAGACAGCCGGGACGUAAUGUUUUUUGAGCAACACACCAUACUAUGACGUUUUUACAAUGAUGGUUCUACUAUGGAACCAGUUUGACAUGUUCAGGCGUUCAGGUAUCAGAAGGUGGUUUUUAACUUCCUUUGUUAACUUUCUGCCUCAACUUGAAACUAAAUUUCCUUCACUAACCCAGCCCUCUGGACGUCCAGUAAGCUGUGUUCCUAUUGGCUGUCCAGGUGGCUGCUUGGUGUUAUCAGGAACACCUGAGCAGCUCAGUGUCUUCCUGCUUUAUUUAGCUUCAGUCAAACAUUUCCUCUGCUUCUCUUCACCACGGAACCGGGUUUGGCUCCAUUGCUUUAGUUUGUUCUUUAGGCGUUGGCUUACAGCUUCCAGCAGUAAAAUAGGCUUUAAUGUGUUUCUUGGUGUGUUUUAGGGCUUUGUACUGGAUAGUUGUCUUGGUAAAUGUGGUUCUUUAGCCACAGUUAGCACAUGGUGCUAAUGUGUGCAGUGAUUAGUGGAUUUGGUGCAGCUGAGUUGUGUCUUUAUCUUGGCUGUAGUGAGGCUUUAGAGGUUUUUGGUCAGACACAUUCUGUAUUCUUGUUUGUGGAGCAACAUUGGUUGUCCUGAAGGUAAGAGUUCCUGUCCUGAUUCUCUGUUCUCAGAGGUUCUCUGUUAGGCUGCAGGAGACUUUAGCGUUUGGGUUGUGCUACUUUGGUUUUUGUAGUUUCAUUUUGACGACUAUCUUGAGGCCCCUCCAUGUGGUUUAGUGAGGUUUUCUGCAACAGUUCUACAUAGCAACCUGCAGCAGAAGAGACUUUUAGAGUUUUUAGGAAGUUCUGGAGAGCAGACUUUAGAGCAGCAGAAACAUUUGUCAGCAGUUUGAGCAGGAGAAGGUGAGCUUCAGAGUAGAAAUGAGACGGAAACCUUCUUGACCCGUGUUGUGAGGUCCUGUACCAAGAGUUUGAGCAGGUUGUGAAGAGUCUGUAGUUCUUUGGUCUGAAAGCACAAGAAAAGUCGACUCAUUAAAUGAGAAAACAGGAGAUAUUGUUGGUUCUUCUGUCACUCUGCAGUUUCCUUAGACUGAAUAUCAAGUUUAUAUUUUAAAUGAUUUCCCAUGUGAGCCCAAGAGGACUUCAAUAAACUCCCUCCAUCCCCUGGACACAACAUAUUUUAUUACGAUGUUAAAUCUUUUUUUUUUUUUUUUUAAAUGUUUUUGAGUUUUAAUCAUAGUUUUAGUAUAGUUUUUUCUCUUUGCUUGUUUAGUUUUGUCGUCUGUGUGAAAGGUGCUAAACAAAUAAAGUUGAAUUGAUAAACUGUA